rnacentral:rRNA from 1 species
AAAUAACGCACUUGUUAACUACCUGCCAGCAGCUGAAGGUAAUAAGGUAGGGGUGCCAUUCGUUAAAUCGGAAUUACCUGGGAGUAAAAGCGCGGGCAGUUGGUUUUUUAAGACGGAAUGUUAAAAUCCCCCCUGGCUUUAACCUGGGAACUUUCAUUUGUGACUGCCAGGCUUUGAGUUUGGCGGGGGGGGGUAGAAUUCCACGUGUAGCAGUGAAAUGCGUAGAGAUGUGGAGGAAUACCGAUGGCGAAGGCAGCCCCCUGGGGCCAAUACUGACGCUCAUGCACGAAAGGGUGGGGAGCAAACAGGAUUAGAUACCCUGGUAGUCCACGCCCUAAAUGAUGUCAACUAGUUGUCGGGGAUUCAUUGCCUUAGUAACGUAGCUAACGCGUGAAGUUGCCCGCGUGGGGAGUACGGUCGCUAGAUUAAAAAUCAAAGGAAUGGGCGGGGACCCGCACAAGCGGUGGAUGAUGUGGAUUAAUUCGAUGCAACGCGAAAAACCUUACCUACCCUUUACAUGUAAGGAAUCAUGGAGAGAUGUGGGAGUGCUGGAAAGAGAACCCUAACACAGGUGCUGCAUGGCUGUCGUCAGCUCGUGUCGUGAGAUGUUGGGUUAAGUCCCGCAACGAGCGCAACCCUUGUCCUUAGUUGAUACGCAAGAGCACUCUAAGGAGACUGCCGGUGACAAACCGGAGGAAGGUGGGGAUGACGUCAAGUCCUCAUGGCCCUUAUGGGUAGGGCUUCACACGUCAUACAAUGGUCGGUACAGAGGGUUGCCAACCCGCGAGGGGGAGCUAAUCCCAGAAAACCGAUCGUAGUCCGGAUCGCAGUCUGCAACUCGAUCUGCGUGAAGUUGGAAUCGCUAGUAAUCGCGGAUCAGCAUGUCGCGGUGAAUACGUUUCCCGGGUCUUGUACACCCCGCCCGUCACAACCAUGGGAGUGGGUUUUCCCAGAAGUAGGUAG